AGACAGGUCACCGCGAAAGCGAAAAAAUGGCGGCUCAGGGGAAGAAGAAGAUGAAAGGGAAGACGAUAAAUCUGACAGAGUUUCUGUCAGAUGAAAAAGGGGGAAGCCCAGCCCCAACGUACUCAUCUAAUAAAAUCGAUUGGGCAGCAGAGAUGGAUUCUAAUGAUUUAGAAGACUUGGAUUUAGACUUGCAGCGAUCAAUGAUUGACAGAUCCAAGUUACCCACUGCCCCCAAGGCUGCCCGAGGGCCCGACGUAGAUCUCGGUCGAAUUCCAAACCAACCGCCAUACACAGCAUUCAUUGGAAAUCUGCCCUAUGAAGCUACAGAGGAUCUCAUAGAAAAUUUUUUCAAAAAUUUAAAGGUGGUCAAUGUUAGACUACCAACUGACCAAGGGAGGCUAAGAGGGUUUGGAUAUGUAGAGUUUGAGGACAGGCAAUCACUGAUUGAUGCCUUGGGUUUAAAUGAUGAGAACAUGGGAGGAAGGAAGAUGCGUGUUGAUCUAGCAGGACAGAAUCAAAAUGAAAAUCAGAAGAGCGGAUUCGGAGAUAGAAGAAACGAGGGGCCAGACAGAACUGACUCCGAUUGGAGAAGAGGACCCCCUCCCGAAUCAGAUUUUGAUAGAAAUGACAGGCGUGGUGGCGGAAGUGAUAGAUGGGGAGGAGGAAGAGGAUUUGAGGAUAGGGGUUCCAGGGGGUAUGAUAGGGACGACAGAGGUCCAUCAAGGGGGUUUGACAGAGAUGAUAGGGGCCCAUCAAGGGGCUUUGACAGAGAUGAUAGAGGCCCCUCAAGGGGUUUUGACAGAGAUGACAGAGGCCCUUCAAGGGGUUUUGACAGAGAUGAAAGAGGCCCAUCAAGGGGUUUUGAUAGAGAUGAUAGGGGACCUAGAGGCUAUGAUCGAGGAGACAGAGGAUAUGACCGCGAUAGAGGUGGCUUUGAUAGAAGCGGUGGUCCACGAGAUGACUGGAAUUCUAGAAGAGAUUUUGAUGACCGAGGCCCAUCCAGAGGUUUUGACAGAGAUGGUGGGAGGGGAUACAGAGACCGGGGCUUUGAGAGUGGAGGAGACAGAGGAUAUGAUAGAAGGUCCAGGGAUCGGUAUGAUGAUAGAGAUAGAGGCUAUGGAUCUGGUUUUAGAAGAGAUGACAGAAGAGAUGAUGGCUAUGACAGACCUAGGUCAGACAGACCAAGAAGUCCAGAGGGUGGUCGAGAUGCACCAGUUGAGCGACCAAGGUUAAACCUUCAACCAAGAACCAAACCUGUAGAAAAUGAAGGUCCCAAGAAUCCUGGAAGUGCCCCUGAAAAGAAAGCCUCCAUCUUUGGAGCGGCCAAACCAGUAGAUACGGCGGCAAGGGAGAGAGAGAUAGAGGAAAGAUUGGCAAAACAGAGAUUGGAAGAGUCCAAGAGGGCAGAGGAGGAGAAGGAAAAUAGAAAUGUUGGUGGUCGUAGUGGUAGACCUCGUCAAGAUAGUGAGAAUUCUCAAGAUGGGAAUAGACGAGACUCAUUUGAAGGCAGCAGGCGAGAGCGAAGACUCAGCAGCAAUAGCUCGAGUAAAGGAGGCCGAUCAGGUCCUUCCCAUGGGCGACCCAGAAAAGACAGUGAAAAAUCCAACCACUCCCAGGAAGUUUUCUCUGGUGGGGAGGAGGGUAAGGAUGAGCCCAAGAGUCCACUCUCACCUGUGCACAGAGAGGAUCCUGUCAAGCUUGUGCCAGCCCCACCACCUCCAGUCAAUGCCUGGAACAAGAGGAAAGUAGAGACUGCCCAGAAACCAGGCAACCCAGGUGAUGGAAAGUCACCACCACAGAGCAAUUCCCAAGUCCCUGCCAAGAGUGAAACUAAGUCAAAUCCUACAUCUGCAAGGAAAGAGGGGGAUUUCCCGGUGAAGGCAGGGGAGGAUCGAGUCGAGGCGGGAGAGGGCGAGGGACACCAACUCGUGGACGAGGGGGAAAACAGAAAGUUCCAAGGGAGAAACCAAUCCCCAAAUCUAUAGAUGAAAUGCCCAAAUUUGAGGAAAAGGAGAAAAAGGUUUGGACUGACGCCAAUAAAUUUGCAGGCCUUAUAAGUGAUGAAGAUGUUGAAAAUGAAGAUUAGGAGAGAGAUGGUUAUUCUCUCAUGAGCCUUUUUAAUGCAGAACUGGUGAAUGAUUCAGCAGUUUUAUUUAUUGAUUUUAAAUUUUGAAAUGAUUGACAUUACAUAUUGUCCUGGGCAAUUAAUUUGAAAUAAAGCAGAGGUUCACAAUGUAUUGACAAGUUUAUUAAUAUUUGUAAUAAAAUUUAUUACAUAUGUAACAACAGAUCCAAUGGACUGUUAUGUGAUAGUUGGAAGUUCUCUGUUACAGAAUUGUGAAGGAUCAUUAAAUACAUGACUUGCAUUUAAUUCAAUUCUUUAAAGCACCUAAUGACAAUCUCAAUUCUCUACAGCUUAUUAAAACUUUCUUAAAUAUGUGACAACCACUAGAUUAUUUUGUACAAUUUGUGAUUUUGAGGUUCAUUUUGAAUUCAGUGGUAAAAUUGUUUUGCAUUAUAUUUUUUCUGUUAAAUGUAUACACCAUUUGCUUCCAUUGUAUAUAAUUUGCAAAGGUAAUAGAGGAAUAGCUGAAUCAAAUGUUUCAUCUGAAGAUUAUUUAAUGAGUGGAUAAUUUUCUGCUCAGAAAGAUGAUAAAAUACAGUGUGCAAUAUGUUUUGAACAUUUUGUGCAGUUUUAGUUAAUCAUGUUUAGAUAAUGUGAAUUAUGGAUUACAAAGAUAAUUCUAAUUAUUUAAUUGGUACAUUGUGUAUUCAUUAAGUAAAACAGUAACGAGCCUGUUGUUUGUAGUUUCAUUAAAAAAAAAUUACAUAUCAAUCUUGAUCCAAGAAAAACACAAUGUAUCUGAGACAAUGAACUAGAACCAUUCACUUUGAUUAAUUAUGUGCCAGUAUACAAAGGGGUCCAGAAUAGUAACUGAAUUAUUAUACAGUUAUACAGAGAUGGUAAAUCUCCUUGUAGAGAGCUCCAUACAGUAACACUAAUGUUAAGAGUGUGUUGUCUCCUUGAUUUAUGUAUGAUUAGAAUUCUUGAUAAACCAGCAUUUAUAGAUAUAUUAAAAGACUAUUUUAUCACC
rnacentral:misc_RNA from 1 species